GUGCUCAAUUCAGCAGCAUGUAUACUAAAAUGGCAUCCGUACAAAGAAGACUAGCGUGGCCCCUGCACUAGAAGGACACGCAAAUUCGUGAAGAAAAAGAAAAAGAA
ensembl:snRNA U6 U6 spliceosomal RNA